rnacentral:rRNA from 1 species
ACGAACGCUGGCGGCGUGCCUAAUACAUGCAAGUAGAACGCUGAAGGAGGAGCUUGCUUCUCUGGAUGAGUUGCGAACGGGUGAGUAACGCGUAGGUAACCUGCCUGGUAGCGGGGGAUAACUAUUGGAAACGAUAGCUAAUACCGCAUAAUAGUAGAUGUUGCAUGACAUUUGCUUAAAAGGUGCAAUUGCAUCACUACCAGAUGGACCUGCGUUGUAUUAGCUAGUUGGUGGGGUAACGGCUCACCAAGGCGACGAUACAUAGCCGACCUGAGAGGGUGAUCGGCCACACUGGGACUGAGACACGGCCCAGACUCCUACGGGGGGCAGCAGUAGGGAAUCUUCGGCAAUGGACGGAAGUCUGACCGAGCAACGCCGCGUGAGUGAAGAAGGUUGUCGGAUCGUAAAGCUCUGUUGUAAGAGAAGAACGAGUGUGAGAGUGGAAAGUUCACACUGUGACGGUAUCUUACCAGAAAGGGACGGCUAACUACGUG